CAUAUUUUAAAAUAGUGGAUCAAAAUUUAAUUAAACAAUUUGAUUUUAUUAAACUUCCACAUACUUUUUAAAGUCAGCAUGUGUCCCUGCGAAAUUUUGUGAAAAAAUUCAUCGGUUCAGGAAAAACAAAAUUUGAUGUCCUAUGAAUAUUUGUAUUUCGUUAUGGUAAUCAAACCUAUACCAUAGUGCUGACUUGUUUUAUCGGCAGUUUUUCAAGUGCACAAUCGAGGAUUGUUAUCCAAGGGAUCCUUGAAUUUUACCUUAUGUUGAAACAACAGUGACUCUGAAACAUUUAUUUCAUUUUUCAGCUGACCAAAGCCAAAUAGUCAAUAGAUAUUUUUCAUUACUUGGCGUCCGUCCGUCUAUCGUCGCUGUAUCUUUGUCUUUUUCAACUUAAACUCGGAUAACUCAUUAUAGAAGAUGUUGCCAUUAAUUGACUAGUUUAAACCAUUUUGGAUUUUGUUUUGCCUUUUAACCCUUAAGACUAUCAUAGACCGAGUAAAGAUUUAAUAGCAAAAUUAAUCAGCAAGACAAUUCAACAUCUCCGAAAUCGUCAGUCAACUCUUUACAGAAAAUAUUGCCCCACGAUGGUUAUUUUAUAAACUUUUUGCUUUUGCGUUUUUGAUUAAUAAUUUUAAAAGGCUUGUAAUUUUUAAACAUUAGAUAAAGAAAAAAUUACAAUAACAAAAACGAGUAAUAAGACAAGGUCUACAAAUUUAUUAAAAUAGCCGAAAAAGUCAAUUAACUCCUGAUAGGACUUGUUGUUCCAAAAUGACUUUUUACAUAGGUUUUGCAUUUUUGAACAUACCUGUAGUAGAUAAAGAUUACCUUUAUAUUCAGUAAAAAAUUAUCAUCAAUAUACGAUUUGUAUAUACAUAGCCCAACUUCUCAUUCCGUUCACCAUAAGAGUGAAUGAUAAUUCUUAUCUGUUUUAAGGUAGUUCGCUUCUCAGUUUCAAAGUAAUUAACUUUUUAAAACACUAGUUUAUAUUGAUAGGGGAUUAAUAAAGGAAUCAACAGAGCAAAAAAAAAUAUAUAGGUCACCGUGCUUGUUUUCGAGAUAUUAGCCAUUGAAAUUUUGGCGGGAAAAUAUUCUCUCUUGGCUUUUCAUAGCUUUAGUAUUGACAAGGUGAAGUUCUCAAAAACUGUUGAAAAGUAAUUAAAAUUUUAUAAGACUUUUACAGAUGGCUAAUUAUUAUACAUGUUAAAGAUUUACAAAAAGAAAAAUGGGGGUCACCGGGCAAAUUUUUGCAAGGCAUUCAAAUGGAAAAAACCAGAGGAUUCCGAAAAUCUGACAAAAUAUCCAAAACAUGACAAGCCAGCUUCCUUAAGCAUUUUUUACAAAAUAAAUAUAGUAGAUCAAGAAACACUGUAACAGUAAAUGUUCAGGAAAAACAGAUAUACAACAAAGUCAACAUUUCAAAAUGAAGUUAACUCCUUAUAUCAGAUAUUGUCCUAUAAUGAUGUACUCUACCUAUUCUUAUGUGUUGGUCAAAUCUAUAAAUUAAAUUUUGGCAAAAUCUACAGUAGAUAGAGAGCAACUGAAAAAAAUAUAAUUAAUACAAAACAAAAUUAUUUUUUAUUUAUCUUAGUCAUUAUUUAUAUUCUAUUCUGUAAUUCUAAAACUGCACGUCUCUCUAAAGCCGCAAGUUUCUAUCACAUAAUUCUUCUCUUCAUAGCAACUGAGUACCGAAUCUUUUGAUAUGCUUCCAUGUAACUAUAUCAAGGUAGGUCCUCCUCAUACUACGAUCAUUGAAGAAUGUGGCAUAUUUAUUUUUGUUCGAUACAAAUUGUUUUAUUUUUAUAUAUAUAUGUUAACAUUGGGUGUAUAUAUUUACAUACCGUUGUGCUACUGCUAUGCCAUUAUCAACGUUAUAUUGGAAAUUGUAUAAUUAUGAUGUUUAGUUGAAUAAAAUAAC
rnacentral:lncRNA from 1 species